rnacentral:tRNA from 1 species
UUUUCCGUUUUUGACUUGGCUAACAUCCCUAAAGCCGCCCUUACGAGGCGGUGAUCGGGGGUUCAAAUCCCCCCGAGCCCA